rnacentral:rRNA from 1 species
UACGGAGGGGUUAGCGUUGUUCGGAAUUACUGGCGGUAAAGACGCACGUAGGCGGACUAGUCAGUCAGAGGUGAAAUACCCCAGGGCGUCAACCCUGGAACUGCCUUUGUAUACUGCUAGUCUUGAGUUCGAGAGAGGUAAGUGGAAUUCCGAGUGUAGAGGUGAAAUUACGUAGAUAUUCGGAGGAACACCAGUGGCGAAGGCGGCUUACUGGCUCGAUACUGACGCUGAGGUGCGAAAGUGUGGGAGCAAACAGGAUUAGAUACCCCUGUAGU